rnacentral:lncRNA from 1 species
GGAGUCAUGACAACAUAGUGGAGACCUACAGACUGGAGAAAUGACAAUAUAGUGGAGGUCUACAGACUGGAGACAUGACAACAUAGUGGAGGCCUACAGACUGGAGACAUGACAACAUAGUGGAGGCCUACAGACUGGAGACAUGACAACAUAGUGGAGGCCUACAGACUGGAGACAUUACAAAAUAGUUCAGGACUACAGAUUGGAGACAUGACAACAUAGUGGAGGCCUACAGACUGGAGACAUUACAAAAUAGUAGAGGGCUACAAACUCGAGACAUUACAACAUAGUGGAGAACUACAGACUGGAGUCAUGACAACAUAGUGGAGGCCUGCAGACUGGGGAUAUGACAACAUAGUGGAUACCUACAGACUGGAGACAUUACAACAUAGUGGAGGCCUGCAGACUGGGGAUAUGACAACAUAGUGGAGGCCUACAGACUGGUGACAUUAAAACAUAGUGGAGGCCUGCAGUCUGGAGACAUGACAACAUAUUGUAGGCCUACAGACUGGAGACAUGACAUCAUAGUGGAGGACUACGGACUGGGGACAUGACAUUAUAGUGGAGGACUACGGACUGGGGACAUGAUAUUAUUGUGGAAAACUACAGACAUGGCAACAUAGUGGAGGCCUACAGACUGGAGACAUUACAUCAUAGUGGAGGCCUACAGACUGGAGACAUUACAUCAUAGUGGAGGCCUACAGACUGGAGACAUUACAUCAUAGUGGAGGACUACAGACUGGAGACAUGACAACAUAGUGGAGGCCUACAGACUGG